rnacentral:lncRNA from 1 species
ACGGACAAGUAUGGACCAGUAUAAACCAGUACGGACCAGUACGAAUCAGUACAGACCACUAUGGACCCGUAUAAACCAGGACGGACCAGAACAGACCAGUCCAUCCCAGUCCGUCCCAGUUCCCUCCCAGUCCCUCCCAGUUCCUCCCAGUCCCUCCCAGUUCCUCCCAGUCCCUCUCAGUCCCAUCCCAGUCCCUCCCAGUCCCUCCCAUUCCCUCCCAGUCCAUCCCAGUUCCUCCCAGUUCCCACCAGUCCCAUCCCAGUCCAUCCCAGUCCCUCCCAGUCCCUCCCAGUUGCUCCCAGUUCCCACCUGCUCGUGCACGGCGCUGCCCAUGACGCUGAACACGC